CCCAUGCACCUGCUUCCCCCACCUCCAGGAGCCAUGGCCGGCGCGGCCACGAGCUCGUCGCCGGCAUAGGAGAGCCCCUGGGUCCUUGCUUCUUCGUCUAGGUGCAAGAGGAGGCUGCCCCGAUGUCAUUCGCGCGCACAACCGAGCCCAAGGACUCCGUCCACGACUUCCCCUUCUUCCUCUGCUUCCUCUGCUUCACGGACCCGAGCGCCUCCGUCGAUCAUCGCGUCCUCCCGCUGUCUCCGGUCACCCGCGACCUUGUACAACUCCAGCAUCACCCCCACGGUGACGAUCUGCUCCUCUUAGCCUUCCUCUCCCAUGUGUUUUGUUCCCGUAGACGUUGUCCAGACUAUCAGGAACUCGCGGUCGCCAUGAGCGCCAUGGCGUGAGUUCGAGUUCGUGUUUGUGCCGCUGCUUCUGCUUGCUGAUCCCACACACAACCUCUAUGCUCGUGUCCUUGCCAGUUCCCCGUCGCACGCCCGCGCAAGGGCCUCGCCUUGCCCCGAUUGCAUCUGCCGAUUGCAUCCUGUACGCCAUGGAUGAGGUGCUCGAGCUCCUCACACGCAUGUGCCCUUCCUGCAUAGCACACACAUCAUGCGCACAUCCCACCGCAAGCCUUUUCCGCACCCCCGCCGGCGCUUGGUAGCAGCAGCAGUCGCCGCUGCUUGUUCCUGUCGCCGACGAGAAUCAGCCGUCCGCCAUUUAGAAGAGAACCCCGAGCUUCUUAAGUUCAUCUAAGCCUGAACCCUCUUCAUGCACCAGUAUAGCAGCAACGCAGUGGUUAGCGCACCCCUGGAAUAUCUAGCCGGUCUGGGGUUCGAACCCCCGGUUGGUACCCUUUUCUUUGUUUUGUUUUUGAACUGCUGUUCUUUUCCCGGCCACACAAGAGCAGUCGAUCCCGAGAGUGGAGAUGGCGCGGACAGGCUCACGCGCUCCUGCCAGCUGGACCAACAACCGGGCGCCGCGUUUCCUACUGUAUUUAAUACGGCCGUAUAUAUACCAAGCAACGGAGUACGACUAAAACGGACAUGCGGAGACGGACCUGUGCAUGAUAACGUGUGCAUAUCGGUAUAGGAUAUUGCUGUACCAUUGGUACAGAUGAGAUGGAAUUGUACGUGAUGACGUUCUUAUCCUAUCUGUUCCCCUCCCCACCUUACUCGCCGCCGCACAAAUCGACACCAUAGCCACCGCUAACCAUGCGCCAUAUCCGGCCACCGCAGUGCAGCUGCGUGCCGUCGCCUUCGUACAACAUCUCCCGCCCGACGACCAUUGCCUCCGCCGCGCGGCAAGAAGCCACACAGUUCCUGCGGCGGCCUCGCGGGGAGGAGCACGACAGGCCCUGGCGGCGGCCUUGUGUGCGGGGCAGGGCACCACGCCAGGGAGAGCGGUCUCGCCCUCCACGGGAUCCCGAUGCGGGGUGGAGUCGCGGUGGAGGUGCUGCUCGUGGGGGGAAUGAUGGCCUGCCUCGCGCGAUUGCGGCGGUGAGGAUGUGGGAUGGCUGCGGUGGGCGGCUAUGUAGCGGGUGGCAAUGGAAGCUGUCGAGUCACGGCACCAGAGGCGGAGGGAGCGGCUAGUGAUGGGGGCGAGGGCUGGGUGCUCUCCUCGUCUCACGCGGUCGCCGAGGGAAGCCGGCGGCUACUUCUGUUUCCGUUGGCAGCCACUCCCGCUUCUGAUCUGAGUGGAUCCUGCUCCCGCUCGCCCCUGGUCAACCUCCUGCAUCGGUGCGCCCCUGUCGCCUCCGUCGACUCCACCCGUGGGUGGAGGAGAUGGCCGAAUCGGCCGUCGUGUCUUGCAAGCGCGGCCUGCUCCUGCACAACCACCAGUGCCAGUGGAGGAGCUGCGGCGGGGAGGUGUUCAUCUACUCUUUUUUGUCACUGGAAUAAGGCAAUGACGUUUUUGGGCUUCCCCCAUUUUUGGGCUGGUCCGCCAGAGGGGAAGAGCCAGAUCGUUGUCCCUGCUAGCAACAAGUUUAUCUGACGUGGGAUUGUUCAGGCUAGAGGGGUACUUCUACCGAACGAGUUCGUUCGUUCCAGCGACUCUCCCAGCACGAACGACUCGUUCGGGCUGGGGUAUCCCUAGGCCGAUCGUUCGGCAGUUAUCGAUGUCCAAGAUCAUGGCUAUGGAGAUUAGGAUCACCAGAGAUGAGGAAUUGGAGUUCUUAACGGAUCCAGUUGACAGAUUUCCCCUACCGGAUCUGGCCGGCGACAAGCUGCCGGUAGAGCAUGGCAGAAGCCAGGCUGUAAUAUGUGGACCUACAGAUUCAAGCAUUGGCGAAGCAGGAGAUGCCAUGGCAGUAGUGGAAACAUAUUUGAACAACACUUGUCAGGGGGUUACCCUGUCGGCGCCGGCGUCCGAGCAAUCUACAGGGAAGGACGACCUUGAAGCCCCUGGCUGGACGCGAAGGUGGCAUCACAAGAGCUGCUGUGUCUGUUGAGCGGGAAUCCCUCGUCCUUUGAAUUUCAAAUAGCAUGAGCGCGCUGGGCUCAACACCAACAGACCUUUAUUUAAGAACGAGGCGUUGCAUCUCUUGCCGAGCGCGAACGAGAGGUACAGAACCGAGCGCGAACGACACUUUGCCAAAUCGUCGUCAAAACCUCUCCCGACGUCGGCACCAACAUCCUCCACAACGCCGUCUCGUUCCCAUCACGUAUACGCAUUAACUGACCCCAACUGCCACCUACAAUACGUCUGCCAGUCUCGCAUCUCCGCCUGAUGGACGCCCGACGAUAGCGAGAGUGCACGAGCUCGUCCGCGCCUGAUGAUUUCUGAGUCGAUCCCUCUUUGUAACACAAACACCAGUCUAGCGCGGUGGCUAGCAGUAUCUGUUUUCAUUGGAGAGGUUGUGGGUUCGAGCCCUAGGCACCCCAUUUUUUUUCUUUUCUUCUGCACACACGCACACUUGGGCCCGAUUCCACUUCUGGCCCAUGCUUUUUUAUCCUCUGCCCGUGGAUUUCAUUAUUUUCCAGGGUAUUGCAUAAUUACAGUUUUGCCACUGAUUUGCAAUGCUCAUAUCUAAAUAUCCAUGCACCCAAAUGAAACAUGUCAUAUAUGCAUCUUGCUUAAAUUUUCACGUUCUUUAACAGUAUGCAACUUUCAUCCAUGAUAAAAAUGUUUAAAAUAUUGUUUGCAUUAAUUUGCAUAAAUGCCAUGUUAAAAUGAUUUAAUUCAUAAC